rnacentral:rRNA from 1 species
GGGUUGUGAGGUUAAGCGACUAAGCGUACACGGUGGAUGCCCUGGCAGUCAGAGGCGAUGAAGGACGUGCUAAUCUGCGAUAAGCGUCGGUAAGGUGAUAUGAACCGUUAUAACCGGCGAUUUCCGAAUGGGGAAACCCAGUGUGAUUCGUCACACUAUCGUUAACUGAAUACAUAGGUUAACGAAGCGAACCGGGGGAACUGAAACAUCUAAGUACCCCGAGGAAAAGAAAUCAACCGAGAUUCCCCCAGUAGCGGCGAGCGAACGGGGAGGAGCCCAGAGCCUGAAUCAGCAUGUGUGUUAGUGGAAGCGUCUGGAAAGGCGCGCGAUACAGGGUGACAGCCCCGUACACAAAAGCGCAUGUGCUGUGAGCUCGAU